rnacentral:rRNA from 1 species
AGUGUGCUUGCACCUCUUGAGAGCGGCGGACGGGUGAGUAAUGCCUAGGAAUCUGCCUGGUAGUGGGGGAUAACGCUCGGAAACGGACGCUAAUACCGCAUACGUCCUACGGGAGAAAGCAGGGGACCUUCGGGCCUUGCGCUAUCAGAUGAGCCUAGGUCGGAUUAGCUAGUUGGUGAGGUAAUGGCUCACCAAGGCGACGAUCCGUAACUGGUCUGAGAGGAUGAUCAGUCACACUGGAACUGAGACACGGUCCAGACUCCUACGGGAGGCAGCAGUGGGGAAUAUUGGACAAUGGGCGAAAGCCUGAUCCAGCCAUGCCGCGUGUGUGAAGAAGGUCUUCGGAUUGUAAAGCACUUUAAGUUGGGAGGAAGGGCAUUAACCUAAUACGUUAGUGUUUUGACGUUACCGACAGAAUAAGCACCGGCUAACUCUGUGCCAGCAGCCGCGGUAAUACAGAGGGUGCAAGCGUUAAUCGGAAUUACUGGGCGUAAAGCGCGCGUAGGUGGUUCGUUAAGUUGGAUGUGAAAUCCCCGGGCUCAACCUGGGAACUGCAUUCAAAACUGUCGAGCUAGAGUAUGGUAGAGGGUGGUGGAAUUUCCUGUGUAGCGGUGAAAUGCGUAGAUAUAGGAAGGAACACCAGUGGCGAAGGCGACCACCUGGACUGAUACUGACACUGAGGUGCGAAAGCGUGGGGGAGCAAACAGGAUUAGAUACCCUGGUAGUCCACGCCGUAAACGAUGUCAACUAGCCGUUGGGAGCCUUG